rnacentral:rRNA from 1 species
UUCGCCCUUAGAGUUUGAUCCUGGCUCAGAACGAACGCUGGCGGCAUGCCUAACACAUGCAAGUCGAACGAAGGCUUCGGCCUUAGUGGCGCACGGGUGCGUAACGCGUGGGAAUCUGCCCUUAGGUUCGGAAUAACAGCUGGAAACGGCUGCUAAUACCGGAUGAUAUCGCGAGAUCAAAGAUUUAUCGCCUGAGGAUGAGCCCGCGUUGGAUUAGGUAGUUGGUGGGGUAAAGGCCUACCAAGCCGACGAUCCAUAGCUGGUCUGAGAGGAUGAUCAGCCACACUGGGACUGAGACACGGCCCAGACUCCUACGGGA